rnacentral:rRNA from 1 species
UACGGAGGGGGCUAGCGUUGUUCGGAAUUACUGGGCGUAAAGCGCACGUAGGCGGCUUUGUAAGUUAGAGGUGAAAGCCCGGGGCUCAACCCCGGAACUGCCUUUAAGACUGCAUCGCUUGAAUCCGGGAGAGGUGAGUGGAAUUCCGAGUGUAGAGGUGAAAUUCGUAGAUAUUCGGAAGAACACCAGUGGCGAAGGCGGCUCACUGGACCGGUAUUGACGCUGAUGUGCGAAAGCGUGGGGAGCAAGCAGG